CGCAUAUUGCGCCCUUUGGUAUUCCGAAGGGCAUGCCUGUUCGAGCGUCAUUAUCAACCGUCAAGCCUGGCUUGUUAUUGGGCCUCCCAUCGUUCUUAACGAUGGGCCCGAAAGAUAAUGGCGGUGUCAAGAUUGAUCCCGGGUACGACGAGCUUUUUAGCAUGUAUUCCGGUGGUCUUCUUGGCCUGGCCUCGUUAAAUCUUUUAACUGUAAGGUUGACCUCGGAUCAGGUAGGAAUACCCGCUGAACUUAA
rnacentral:misc_RNA from 1 species